rnacentral:rRNA from 1 species
ACGAACGCUGGCGGCGUGCUUAACACAUGCAAGUCGAACGGAAAGGCCCCCUUGUGGGGUACUCGAGUGGCGCACGGGUGAGUAACACGUGAGUAACCUACCCUUGACUUUGGGAUAACUUCAGGAAACUGGGGCUAAUACCGGAUAGGAGCUCCUGCUGCAUGGUGGGGGUUGGAAAGUUUCGGCGGUUUGGGAUGGACUCGCGGCUUAUCAGCUUGUUGGUGGGGUAGUGGCUCACCAAGGCUUUGACGGGUAGCCGGCCUGAGAGGGUGACCGGCCACAUUGGGACUGAGAUACGGCCCAGACUCCUACGGGAGGCAGCAGUGGGGAAUAUUGCACAAUGGGCGGAAGCCUGAUGCAGCAACGCCGCGUGCGGGAUGACGGCCUUCGGGUUGUAAACCGCUUUCGCCUGUGACGAAGCGUGAGUGACGGUAAUGGGUAAAGAAGCACCGGCUAACUACGUG